CAGGGGGGGCGAGCGUUGUUCGGAAUUACUGGGCGUAAAGGGUUCGUAGGUGGCUGGCUAAGUCAGACGUGAAAUCCCUCAGCUUAACUGGGGAACUGCGUCUGAGACUGGCGAGCUUGAGUGCAGGAGAGGAACGCGGAAUUCCAGGUGUAGCGGUGAAAUGCGUAGAUAUCUGGAGGAACACCGGUGGCGAAGGCGGCGUUCUGGACUGCAACUGACACUGAGGAACGAAAGCCAGGGUAGCAAACGGGAUUAGAUACCCCGGUAGUCCUGGCCCUAAACGAUGAAUGCUUGGUGUGGCGGGUAUCGAUCCCUGCCGUGCCGAAGUUAACGCGUUAAGCAUUCCGCCUGGGGAGUACGGUCGCAAGGCUG
rnacentral:rRNA from 1 species